ensembl:snRNA U1 U1 spliceosomal RNA
UGACCCACCUUGCAGUGGUGACACCAUGAUCAUGAAGGUAGUUUUCUCAGCGAGCCAUGUCCAUUGCAUUUGGGAUGUGCUGCUCCCUGUGCUGCUCAAAUGUAGUAAACUGACCAGCACAACUUGUGAUCAUGGGGGGGUUGCAUUCUCACUGUCUUCCCCGA